GACAGAGGCCCCAAGCGUUAGGCGGAAUCACUGGGCUUAAAGCGUGUGUAGGCGGAUCGUUAAGUGUCUUGUGAAAUCCCACGGCUCACCCGUGGAACUGCUGGGCAUACUGGCGAUCUUGGGCCAACUAGGGGCAGUCGGAACAAGCGGUGGAGCGGUGAAAUGCGUAGAUAUCAAGAGGAACACCUGAGGUGAAGACGGGUUGCUGGGCUGACACUGACGCUGAGGCGCGAAAGCCAGGGGAGCAAACGGG
rnacentral:rRNA from 1 species